rnacentral:rRNA from 1 species
CCUACGGGUGGCUGCAGUAGGGAAUCUUCCGCAAUGGACGAAAGUCUGACGGAGCAACGCCGCGUGAGCGAAGAAGGUCUUCGGAUCGUAAAGCUCUGUUGUUAGGGAAGAACAAGUACGGGAGGAAAUGACCGUACCUUGACGGUACCUGACGAGGAAGCCACGGCUAACUACGUGCCAGCAGCCGCGGUAAUACGUAGGUGGCAAGCGUUGUCCGUAAUUAUUGGGCGUAAAGCGCGCGCAGGCGGUCUUUUAAGUCUGAUGUGAAAUCUUGCGGCUCAACCGCAAGCGGGCAUUGGAACUGGGGCGAUUGGUGGAAAGAAGGGGAACGGGUAAUUCCAGGGGUAGGGUUGAAUGGGGUGAAAUUGGGGGGGAAAACAAGUGUAGCGGGCGGUUUUCUGGUCUUAAACACACGCUGGGGCGCGAGUGCGAGGGGAGAAAAGAGGAUUAUAUCCCUAAGUAGCC